AUCUUAUGUAUGAAUAUGAAGGAACAUCUUCUUUUCCUGAAGAGAGAAAUUCUAGGAAAAACUCAAAAAAAAGAAAGCUUGCUUCCAACAACCAGCGAAAAAGCUCAGCAUGUGAGAAAUCUGGUUAUUCACAUAAAUUAUCUCGUAGUAGUAAGAGGUUUCAUGAGCCUUCUGCAGAGAACUAUGAGCUCAAGGAAACUUGGAUCCAGUGUGAUGCUUGUCACAAAUGGCGGAGGCUUGCAGAUGCCGG
rnacentral:misc_RNA from 1 species